UCCAUCUUUCUUCUUCAACUACUUCACACGACCACGACACAAUAUUUUUCGCACUUCCUAACAACAAUCUUACGCAUUUUGCUUUCUCCUUUGCUCUUGGCAACAUCAUUUUUCUCAGUCUUUCGCUCUUGGCAUAUAAGUUUGAAUUUUAAUCUCAGUGGUUCACUCUCUUUUAGGUUUUUGUUUGCACUUUCAUUUUCUCUUCUUGCUCUCUCUCUCCCCUCUCGUAUGCUUUCUCUGUGAUUCACAUUAUUAUUGUGAUUUUCACAUGUUAUGCUUUCUCCGUCACAUGUUCAUCGCAACAACUUAAAUUUGCUUACGAUAUGCGAUUAUUGGCUCAUCACAAGUUCAUUGUUUUUCUCCAGUUCACCGACGAAGACAGAGGGAGCGACAAGGGAAGCGUGGAGAUGUCGUGGUCAAAUGCGUCCAAGAAGAGCAAGUCGUUGAAGUUCAUUAAUAGAAUAUGAAUGCAAAAUUAGCAGUGCCCAACAGAUGCGAUUCAAUCGUGUGGUUAGUGGUGGUAUCUCCUCCAAAUUCUUACAUGCAUUCUGCUACUUACUCCCUCAUUUUCUAAAGAUGAUCGAAAGAUUUACAUAGUCUACAUGGGGGAACAUCCGAAGGGCAUGGAACGCACAGAGUCACUUCAUACUAUUACGAUUCAAAGUGUCAUCACCAGAGUUGCAGUAGAUACUUUGGUGCACAGCUACAAGAGUUUCAAUGGAUUUGUGGCAAGGCUGACCAAAGAAGAAUAAAAAGGAAUGAAAUGUAGUUUUAAUAUGAUUGUGAAUCUAUAACUAUAUAGAUGUAUACCUUUUGUGAAAAUUUGGAAUGUUUGGCAGGAAUGGACGGGGUGGUUUCUAUUAUUCCAAACAGAAUCCACAGUAUCCAAACAUCAAGGUCCUGGGACUUUCUUGGCUUCCCCGAAAAUGUCCAAAGAACAAAAGAAGAAAGUAACGUAAUCGUUGGAGUACUGGAUACUGGAAUUUGGCCUAAUUCCACUAGCUUCACCGACGGAGGCGUUGGUCCGCCACCACAAAAAUGGAAAGGAACAUGCCAGAACUUCACUUGCAAUAACCUACUGAUCCCAACAUGAAAAGUUCUCAAGUCUUGACCAAGUUCCUUCCAUUAAUGAUUGGUUACUUUGCUCUCUCAAUUCCUUCUGGUCUUAGCCUUUACUGGUUAGUAUAGGUUAACAAAUAACAUAUUGAGCAUUGGACAACAAGUAUGGCAUCAAAAUUUAGGAGGUUCCAAAAAUCCAGUGAGGCAAGUCCUAGAUGAUAUCAUAAAAAAUGACCGGAGCCAGGUUUAGAAGUCAAUAUCUAAGCUAAAUUCCACAAUAGCGGAAGAAGCCAGCCAAAGUGCGAAAACAGCCAGUCAGUCAAGUUCAAGUACAUGAACUAUAAAAUCAGAUGUUAUUGUACAUAUCUGAAGCGUUGUAAGAGUUCAGCAUCUAAGAGGCCAUAGAGCAUAUUGUAUCUUCUAAAGAGGUAUUAAAACCUUGUGCUUUAAGUCUUCUUGCUAGUGAAUAAUGAAAAUUUGAUAUUUCCCACUCUCAUGCUUGAUGGAGUUAGAUUUAAAUUAUUGGUUACUCUUAGCAGAUGAAAUGUGACUGGGGAAAACAUUGCAAGUAAUUCAUUGUCUAAAAUUAAAUUAUUUCUCCUUUAAAAGAAUAAAACACAGAUUGUUGUAUUUUAGUAGUCACGAGACGACAUCAUGUUUUCUUGUCACAGUGCAACUAGUUUGUUCUAACUUUCUAUUCUAGUCAACUAACAUACCCCUAUUAGCCUACCCUUAAUUAGACAAAGCAAAAUUUCAGUUAUUUAUUAGUAAUACUUGACAAAUAGACUAAGAGCAAAUUAUUAGUAAGGAUUCUUGUGAAAUGGAAUAGUGAUAACCAACCAAUUGAUGAUACCGGAGCAUUGUUGAAUAUGUUUUUAGGUCGUGUUGCAAGAAAUGUUAAUGCCUUUCCAAUCAGCUAUCAAAGUUGGAGGAAGAUUCCCAAUGAUUAGAAAGAAGAUAUUCUUAAGAAAACCAUUCAAACAACAACUAUGGCAACAAAGAGAUGAUGGAACACGUAAUAGAGAUGAAAUUAUUACAAUGUGUCCAGAAGGAAUGAAUAAAGACCAAUGAGCUUCUUUUGUUGACUACCGUUUAAAUUCAAGGACUAAGGUAAUAAAACUAUCUUUUCUAUUCUUUUAAGUGUUACUUCACUUAUUUUUAGUAAUUUUCUACAUAUAUGCUUAGGAAAUUGCCAAAAAAAAUAAGGAUAAUAGAAAGAAGCAAGCAGUUCCUCACACAAGUGGAUCGAAGAGCAUUGCACGAAAGAAGGAUGAGAUGGAGCAAGAGCUUGGUCGCAAAGUUAGUAGGGGAGAAGUUUGGAUAGCAACACAUAAACAUGCUAAUGGGGAAUUUGUGAAUGAUGGAGCAAGAGAGAUUGGAGAAAAAAUUAAAUCAUAUGAGACAAAUACAUCUUCCCUUUCACAAGAUAUAUCAAUUGAAGAUUCACUAGCUCAUGUUCUAGGAAGUAAAGAACAUUGUGAUCAUGUCCGAGGAAUGGGAUUGGGACCUUGCCUUUCUCGCGUGUUUGGAUAUACUAGGAAUUUUCAUUUUGGGACAUCCUCAUCUUGUCCUUCUUAUUCAGAAUUGCAAAAUCAGGUCACUGCAUUAAAGUCACAAUUGGAUGAACAAAAUAAACGAAAUGAAGAACGUGACAAAAGACUUGAUGUAAUCAUGAACUUCUUUUCUCAAAAUUAUCAAGGUUAAUUCCCUCCUGAGUUGACUAUGUUCAAUCCUACACCGGUUUCUAAUCAAGGAAGUGUGCCAACUAAUACAACAAGUUCUGGACAUGAGGAAAAUCAUAUGUGAUAGUUGAAUAAUAUAAUGUGGAAGUUAAUUGAAUCAUUUUAUGUUUUGAGAACCAUUGCAGUACUUCAUGAGAGUUUUUGCUGACUAAUAUUGUACUUGAAUUUGAAUUUGAAUUCAUAUAUUUGUUAUACUUUGAUAUACAUUUAGUCAUCU